CGCGGGCAAAGUCAAGAAGUCGGUGGACAAGAACAGCAACGAGUACCGGGUGCGGCGCGAGCGCAACAACAUCGCGGUGCGCAAGAGCCGGGACAAGGCCAAGCAGCGCAACGUGGAGACACAGCAGAAGGUGCUGGAGCUGACCAGUGACAAUGACCGCCUGCGUAAGCGGGUGGAACAACUGAGCCGCGAACUGGACACGCUGAGGGGUAUCUUCCGCCAGCUGCCCGAGAGCUCCCUGGUCAAGGCCAUGGGCAACUGCGCGUGAGGCGCGGGGCGGCGGGACCGCCCUGGGCCGGCCGCUGGCUGGGACCCAGGGAGUGGUUUUGGGUCUCCGGAUCUCAAGACUGCCCAAGCGGCGCAAGCCGGGACUAGGAGAUUCCGGUGCCGCCAGAAAGCCUGGCCUGCUGCGCGCGCCCCUCGCCUUCCUCUGCGCCGGAUUCGGUGCGUCUAAGAUGAGGGGUCAGGCGGUGGUUUCUCCCUGCAGGAGAGGAGAAGUGCCGUGGGGCUGAGCCGGGAGCCCCGGGCCGACUCUAGUAUUAAGGAAUAACCUUGUGCCUUGGAAACGCAAACUCGCCGCUCCGAUUCCUACCGAGUAGGGGGAGCAAAUAUGUGCCUUGUCAUUUUAUUUGGAGGGUUCCUGCCUCAUUCCUGAGGCUGCAGGCCCCCAGGAGAGAAGGCAAUGUGCAGGCCCACGGCAGAAGGAAGGUUCGGGGAGAAGAGAUCCCGACAAGUCAGCCCUAGCCGCUUCUCCAGCGCCUGUCCUUGGAAGGGAGGAAAUACAGGGACUUGGAAGGUUGUUCCCCUAGUUUUACACGAAGGUGGAGGGUCCCUAGUUCCUCGUCUCUAAUCUCCCAGCCUACAACAGGCUGGGCUUCCCUGGACAGAACUCACUUAAAUGGGGUCACCCGGUGCCCAGUGGGAGCCCCCUGCCCCUAAUAAGACCAGAAAGCUAGGACGUGGGGUAGCUCUCUGGACAUGUGUUCAUGGGAGUGGCAGCCCGGUGGUGCAGGGAAACCUAGAGCUGUGGUCGGGGGUGGGGGUGGGGGGGGCUGUGGGCCUCGGUGCCCUCUGGCCUGGGCCGCCCACAGGCCUGUCCCCCCAGAGGCCCUGGCUCCUGGUCUGGAAGGGAGGCGGCCUCCAGCCAGCAUGCACAGAUUGCUGGGGCUGGGAGCCGGGAAGGACAGCUUGGUUCUCUUCUUUGGGGAGAACGUAGAGUUUCAUGCUAGAUGUUUUAUGUAUUAUAUCUAUAAUAUAAACAUAUCAAAGUAAGUUUUGGUGUCUUUUUAAAACCAGAAAAGCUACUUCCAAGGUUUUCCGUGGGCCAGGUCACAUUUGUAAAUAACCACGGCGUAUUCCUGGCUGAGACCCUGACUUUCAUUAGCCCCCCCACCCUGAGCCCCUCUUUACAUGAAGGGGGUAACUUCUCCCAACCAAGGCAAAUAGAUGGCAGAAGGAAGGCUCCAAGCUGAGAAAGCCCAAAGCCUGAAGAGAGAGUCUCCCUGGGGGGCGAGAGUUUGAGGGGGGUUCAUAGGGCCUUGGUGUGGCCUCUCACGGGCCCCUGGGAGGAGCAGAGUGCCACGGGCUCUCUGGGACUUGAACAGGCCUGGCUCAGUGGCUGCAGGCUCCGGGGGCCCUUCGGCCACUUUUGCUUCUAGAUCACUCACAGCUCUGGCUCUGUAGCGGCCUUGCUCAUACCUGUCCUGCCUUACCCACCAGUAGGACACCGGGAGGGCGGGGGGAGGCCUCAAGCAGGAUGCCCCUCGGCCCUCCCCACUUGCUCUGGGCUGUGUGGCUCUAGCCUACCCCAGCAGGGUCCCAAAGGGCAGCCUGGAGGCUGAACACCCCUCCGCCCCACCUUCCAUACCUGUCCCAGCCGACCCCGGGGAAGGAGACCCGCGGCAGGCCUGCGCUGGGUACGUGGUCCUUCACACAUACCCCCUGGCAAGGAGCCAGCGCCGGUAUCCACCCUGCCCGCCGUGCCCACCCUGGACCAAGUCCCCCACUCAGACAACGGCCUUGCGAGGUCAGGCACCCCGGCGCCCCCUUAGCCACAGUGGUAGCCAACCAGAGGGGCCCCCCGCUCACGCCUGCUAGAACCAGGCCCGGCAGGAUAUAGCACAGGAGCUGGCUGGGUUUUCAGAGCUUACUCUCGCUGAGGGUAAAAGGCAGAUGCUCUUUACCUUCUAUUUUCACCCCCAGAGGAUUCACUGGAG
rnacentral:lncRNA from 1 species